GAUAAACUCCACCUCCUUCAUAUGACAAAUACUUUCAGAAAAGUACUUGUCAUUGAAUAGUUUCUAAAACGUUUCCCAAGACAUGCUGAGUGCGGCUGGCUGGGUACGCUUCACAGACUCCCACCAGUAGUCUGCCUCACCGCGGAACAUAAAGGUGGCGAAUGGAACCUUCUGUUCCUCUGUGCAUCCCAAGACAUCGAAUAUCUUGG
rnacentral:lncRNA from 1 species